rnacentral:rRNA from 1 species
GCUUAGAAGCAGCCACCAUUAAAAGAGUGCGUAAUAGCUCACUGGUCAAGUGAUUCCGCGCCGACAAUAUAACGGGGCUCAAGCAGACCUCCGAAGUUGUGGCAUUUGUACAUUGCCCGGCCGUAAGGUCCAGGCGUACAGAUGGGUAGGAGAGCGUCGUGUGGCGAGCGAAGCGGCGGUGUGAACCAGCCGUGGAUGCCACACGAGUGAGAAUUCAGGAAUGAGUAGCGAAAUGCGGGUGAGAAACCCGCACUCCGAAAGACUAAGGGUUCCAGGGCCAGGCUAAUCCGCCCUGGGUAAGUCGGGACCUAAGACGAGGCCGACAGGCGUAGUCGAUGGACAACGGGUUGAUAUUCCCGUACCGGCGAAGAACCGACCAAACUAACCCAAUAAUGCUAAGUGCGCGAAUUCCAGUCUGAAGCCUUCGGGUGGUGGAUUGGAGCUAGUUCACGACCCUAAAUUGGUGCGGUUAACGUAUUAACAGGUGUGACGCAGGAAGGUAGCCUCCGCGGGGCGAUGGUUGUCCCCGUUUAAGGAUGUAGGGCGAGAGAUAGGCAAAUCCGUCUCUCACAUAGCCUGAGAUCUGAUGAUGAGUCCUUAUGGACGAAGUGGGUGAUCCUAAGCUGCCGAGAAAAGCAUCGACGUGAGGUUCUAGCUGCCCGUACCCCAAACCGACUCAGGUAGUCAGGUAGAGAAUACUAAGGAGAUCGAGAGAAUCGUGGUUAAGGAACUCGGCAAAAUGGCCCCGUAACUUCGGGAGAAGGGGCGCCUGAGGCGUGUAUGGAUUUACUCCAAAAGCGCUGUAUGGCCGCAGAGACCAGUGAGUAGCGACUGUUUAUCAAAAACACAGGUCCGUGCGAAGUCGCAAGACGAUGUAUACGGACUGACGCCUGCCCGGUGCUGGAAGGUUAAGAGGACGGGUUAGCAAUUUAUUGCAAAGCUCGGAAUUUAAGCCCCAGUAAACGGCGGUGGUAACUAUAACCAUCCUAAGGUAGCGAAAUUCCUUGUCGGGUAAGUUCCGACCUGCACGAAUGGCGUAACGACUUGAGCACUGUCUCAACCAGAGACUCGGCGAAAUUGCAUUGCGAGUAAAGAUGCUCGCUACGCGCAGCAGGACGGAAAGACCCCGGGACCUUUACUGCAGUUUGGUAUUGAGGCUUGGUUCGUCAUGUGCAGGAUAGGUGGGAGACUUUGAAGCUGGCACGCCAGUGUCGGUGGAGUCGCCCUUGGAAUACCACCCUUGACGUGUUGAGUCCCUAACCUCGGUCCGUGAUCCGGAUCAGGGACAGUGCCUGAUGGGCAGUUUAACUGGGGCGGGUGCCUCCUAAACAGUAACGGAGGCGUCCAAAGGUUCCCUCAGACCGGUCGGUCAUCGGUCGUCGAGUGCAAAGGCAUAAGGGAGCUUGACUGCGAGAGAGACAUCUCGAGCAGAGACGAAAGUCGGGCUUAGUGAUCCGACGGUGGCACGUGGAAGCGCCGUCGCUCAACGGAUAAAAGGUACCCCGGGGAUAACAGGCUGAUC